UACAGGGGGGGCAAGCGUUGUUCGGAAUUACUGGGCGUAAAGGGUUCGUAGGUGGCCACUUAAGUCAGACGUGAAAUCCCUCAGCUUAACUGGGGAACUGCGUCUGAUACUGAGUGGCUUGAGUGUAGGAGAGGAAUGCGGAAUUCCAGGUGUAGCGGUGAAAUGCGUAGAUAUCUGGAGGAACACCGGUGGCGAAGGCGGCAUUCUGGACUGUAACUGACACUGAGGAACGAAAGCCAGGGGAGCAAACGGG
rnacentral:rRNA from 1 species